GAUGAACGCUAGCUACAGGCUUAACACAUGCAAGUCGAGGGGAAACGAUAUUGGAAGCUUGCUUCCGAUAGGCGUCGACCGGCGCACGGGUGAGUAACGCGUAUCCAACCUGCCCAUCACUUGGGGAUAACCUUGCGAAAGUAAGACUAAUACCCAACGACGUCUCUAGAAGACAUCUGAAGGAGAUUAAAGUUUUAACGGUGAUGGAGUGGUAUGCGUCUGAUUAGCGUGUUGGCGGGGUAACGGCCCACCAAGGCGACGAACAGUAGGGGUUCUGAGAGGAAGGUCCCCCACAUUGGAACUGAGACACGGUCCAAACUCCUACGGGAGGCAGCAGUGAGGAAUAUUGGUCAAUGGGCGAGAGCCUGAACCAGCCAAGUAGCGUGCAGGAAGACGGCCCUAUGGGUUGUAAACUGCUUUUAUAAGGGAAUAAAGUGGGAGUCGUGACUCCUUUUGCAUGUACCUUAUGAAUAAGGACCGGCUAAUUCCGUGCCAGCCGCCGCCGUAA
rnacentral:rRNA from 1 species